rnacentral:rRNA from 1 species
GCAGUCGAACGGCAGCACGGAGCUUGCUCUGGUGGCGAGUGGCGAACGGGUGAGUAAUAUAUCGGAACGUACCCUGGAGUGGGGGAUAACGUAGCGAAAGUUACGCUAAUACCGCAUACGAUCUAAGGAUGAAAGUGGGGGAUCGCAAGACCUCAUGCUCGUGGAGCGGCCGAUAUCUGAUUAGCUAGUUGGUAGGGUAAAAGCCUACCAAGGCAUCGAUCAGUAGCUGGUCUGAGAGGACGACCAGUCACACUGGAACUGAGACACGGUCCAGACUCCUACGAGAGGCAGCAGUGGGGAAUUUUGGACAAUGGGCGAAAGCCUGAUCCAGCAAUGCCGCGUGAGUGAAGAAGGCCUUCGGGUUGUAAAGCUCUUUUGUCAGGGAAGAAACGGUGAGAGCUAAUAUCUCUUGCUAAUGACGGUACCUGAAGAAUAAGCACCGGCUAACUACGUGCCAGCAGCCGCGGUAAUACGUAGGGUGCAAGCGUUAAUCGGAAUUACUGGGCGUAAAGCGUGCGCAGGCGGUUUUGUAAGUCUGAUGUGAAAUCCCCGGGCUCAACCUGGGAAUUGCAUUGGAGACUGCAAGGCUAGAAUCUGGCAGAGGGGGGUAGAAUUCCACGUGUAGCAGUGAAAUGCGUAGAUAUGUGGAGGAACACCGAUGGCGAAGGCAGCCCCCUGGGUCAAGAUUGACGCUCAUGCACGAAAGCGUGGGGAGCAAACAGGAUUAGAUACCCUGGUAGUCCACGCCCUAAACGAUGUCUACU